UUCAUUUAUUAAAUAACAAAUCGGAGGACAAUCGUUCCACGAAAACUCUCUCUUCUCUCUCCUAGAAACCUUUUCAACAAAUCUCAGAUCCGAUCUCUAGUGGCCUUGGUUUUUAAUCCCACAAGAUUCAGAGUGUUCAGAGACAGCUAAUUCUCCUCACCGUCGGCUUGGGUGAGGUUUUUCUUCUUCUCUGGCGUAGAUCUAGACCCGAUGUAGUGGUUAGAGUGCGGUGCUACAGACCUCCGAUAUGAGGGAGUCGGCAGGUGUAGCGGCUGCCUCGUGGCUCGCCCGUUGUGUCGGCGAUGGAUCUACGGCGGAAGCCAAAGGACGAGAUGGUGGGUGGCUGAAGCGCCUUGGAGAUUAACGGUGGAUCCUUUUUGGAUCUUGCCGGCCGUCGUGGAGUCUGCGCGUCUGGGCUUCUGAUUGAGCCGUCGGCCCUAGUCGCCGCCACGACUUGCUUUCUCCGGGUCGGCUAGAGGAGUUUUGGUGAAGCGAUUGGAGACUCGCCGGUUUCAAAAGAGGUGAGGUUAUGUCCGAAGUUGGCCGCUCGCUUGGUCUGGGAGUGUCAACAAUGUGCUGCGUAGUCGGAGGUUGGCCAUAUCGGGAGGUUUGUGGCGGGUCGAUAGAUCGAGGGUGAAGAAACGGCACCGAAGUUGGAUGCUUCCUUUCCGCUUCUUGAUCCCUCGGUGGUUUGCAAAGCCGUGGUCCUCGCAUCCACCAGUAUCAAUGGUCUGACUCUUUGCUCGCGGUGUCAAUACGACACGAGUCGUUUCUCCGGCGCCGGUGGUUUUUAGGUUUCCGGUUGCUUUGGUCUCUGUUCAUAUGUGCUUUGUGGCCCGGCCCAUUAAGGGGUUCUAUUAAUAAAAUUUGGCCCAUUAAAACUAUAUGAGGGCUCCCAAUUUGUGUCCAUCGGUGAGCUUUCAUCGUCGUCAUAUACAUUUGUGUCUGUCGUCGUAAGGUGUUGAUUUUGGUGAAGCUCGUGAAUAUGGUUGAGUUGUACUUAGUGUGUGGUAACUGGAAACAAAAUGUUAAUAGAAGCUUGAAUUUCGUUAUGGAUUCACAAAAGGAAAGAUCUCUUAGUGAAGUAGAAAUGAAUGUAACAUCAAAAGAGAGAGGACAUAUACAUAUAAUUUUUUACACAUAAAUCAUAUAUAAAUGAAUGUGAAAGAUUGAGUA